ensembl:lncRNA STARD13-AS STARD13 antisense RNA
GGGGGAGAAUGGGCAUCCCACCCCAGCACUUUCUAGGAAGAAGGGCAGCAUUUUGAAGGGCUGGAAGUAGAGGAAGGAGGUUGCGGGUAGAAGACUCCAUACUUUCUGUGACGCCUAUUCCUUAGCUUGUGAUGAAUGUUUUCUCAGUAUCCUAUGCUGAAAACAGGUAGAUACUAAUAUCGAUCUUCAAGGGAGGGCUGUUGAGUAUUGAAUAAGACAAAAACAUGGAAGCAAUCAGCACCAUGCUGGAAUCAAGGCUAUCUGUAAUCACAGGGCUAUUUGAAAAAGAGAAGAAAAGGUGUCUUGAAAUUCAACCAACAUGUUUCAAUUAUUUGCUCCUAAGAACAACAGAAGUUUCAACAUUCUGCCAACAGAGUAACUCCUGGAAGAUUGGCACAGAAGAAGGCACAAGGAGAGCCUUUAUAUAACCAAAGAUAUUUUUGGACCAUGAAUUCAGAAAUUCUCGGAGCCACCCAUCAGUGCCUGAGCUUCAGUGAGUCCAUAUCCCAUGUCACCCACGGCAAAGGAGACUCUAAGACUUCUGAAGAGUUUCUUGCUUCUUUCCUGUGGGGCAGUGACUCCACUUCCCAGCAGUAAUGGAAUAUCCUGAAUUAGCUACAUUAAUGUUAGAACCAUUUGGACCUCACCCAGGACUUCAACUACAUUAUGGUUCUAGUAUGUUACGUUUAUGUUCCCCUGCUUUCUACAAUCCUGUUCAAAGAGUUGCUGACUUAACCACAGAGAGGAUUCCAGAACCUGAGACACAGAAUAAACUUGAGCAAUCAUAGUCCAUCCACUUCAUUGUCUCAUCAAAAACCAAAGGUCCAGUGAAGCUCUGGAACUCAACGCUGUAAAGGAGCGAAGGAGCUUCUAUACAGAGCCUGGAUGCCUGUCUCCUUAUCCUACUUCAGUGGACUUGACUGCAAUCCGGAUUAUGCUGUUUUCUAAGCAUUUAAAAUAAAAUAAAAAGUAUAAUAGUGUGAUAAGUUCUUUCACAAAGCAAGCAAUCACAUUUAUGUUUCUACUUACAUUUGGGUUUUCCAAAUAUGUGUGUGUGUGUGUGUGUGUGUGUGUGUGUGUGUAUGUAGACUUUAAACAUGGUGCAUCCAUCAUGUUGCACUAAAUCAAAACCACCAAAUAAUGAUGUAGAACUAAUAAAUCAAAACCAUCAAAUAAUGACAUAGAAAUCCAAUUCUCCCACCUUACACCCAUUAAGAUGGCUACU